UACGGAGGAUGCGAGCGUUAUCCGGAUUUAUUGGGUUUAAAGGGUGCGCAGGCGGUCUGUUAAGUCAGCGGUCAAAGCCCGGGGCUCAACCCCGGCCCGCCGUUGAAACUGGCAGUCUCGAAUUGGAGAGAAGUAUGCGGAAUGCGCGGUGUAGCGGUGAAAUGCAUAGAUAUCGCGCAGAACUCCGAUUGCGAAGGCAGCAUGCCGGCUCCACACUGACGCUGAGGCACGAAAGCGUGGGUAUCGAACAGG
rnacentral:rRNA from 1 species